rnacentral:ncRNA from 1 species
UUGGCUGGGGCAGUACACCCGACAAACCGCAAGGCAGGUCUCUACGGCAGGCUCGGGAAGGGCGGAAACCUCCCGCGGAGGAGAAGGGCAAAAGCUUGCUUGCUCUUGACUUCCAGUUUGAGUACGGAGCAUGAAAGCAGGGCCUCAUGAUCUGUCUGACUUUCUGAGUUUUACCUAAAACUCCGAACACCCCCAAGUCGUGUUAUGUUUACAUCUGUAAAUUGUGAGCGCUAUUUUUCAGAAAGAAGUUUAGAACCAUUAAAGCUGAAAAUGGUA